rnacentral:rRNA from 1 species
GAUGAACGCUGGCGGCGUGCCUAAUACAUGCAAGUCGAGCGAACGGACGAGAAGCUUGCUUCUCUGAUGUUAGCGGCGGACGGGUGAGUAACACGUGGAUAACCUACCUAUAAGACUGGGAGAACUUCGGGAAACCGUAGCCAAUACCGGAUAAUAUUUUGAACCGCAUGGUUCAAAAGUGAAAGACGCUUUUGCUGUCACUUAUAGAUGGAUCCGCGCUGCAUUAGCUAGUUGGUAAGGUAACGGCUUACCAAGGCAACGAUGCGUAGCCGACCUGAGAGGGUGAUCGGCCACACUGGAACUGAGACACGGUCCAGACUCCUACGGGAGGCAGCAGUAGGGAAUCUUCCGCAAUGGGCGAAAGCCUGACGGAGCAACGCCGCGUGAGUGAUGAAGGUCUUCGGAUCGUAAAACUCUGUUAUUAGGGAAGAACAUAUGUGUAAGUAACUGUGCACGUCUUGACGGUACCUAAUCAGAAAGCCACGGCUAACUACGUG